rnacentral:rRNA from 1 species
AUUGCUCAUAAAUCAGUAUCGUUUAUUUGAUAGUACCGUACUACUGGGAUAACCGUGGUAAUUCUAGAGCUAAUACAUGCUAAAAACCCCGACUUCGGGAGGGGUGUAUUUAUUAGAUAAAAAACCCAAUGCCUUCGGGGCUCCUUGGUGAAUCAUAAUAACUUAACGGAUCGCAUGGCCUUGCGCCGGCGACGGUUCAUUCAAAUUUCUGCCCUAUCAACUUUCGAUUGUAGGGUAUUGGCCUACAAUGGUAUCAACGGGUAACGGGGAAUUAGGGUUCGAUUCCGGAGAGGGAGCCUGAGAAACGGCUACCACAUCCAAGGAAGGCAGCAGGCGCGCAAAUUACCCAAUCCCGACACGGGGAGGUAGUGACAAUAAAUACUGAUACAGGGCUCUUUUGGGUCUUGUAAUUGGAAUGAGUACAAUUUAAAUCCCUUAACGAGGAACAAUUGGAGGGCAAGUCUGGUGCCAGCAGCCGCGGUAAUUCCAGCUCCAAUAGCGUAUAUUAAAGUUGUUGCAGUUAAAAAGCUCGUAGUUGAACCUUGGGUCUGGCUGGCCGGUCCGCCUCACCGCGUGCACUGGUCCGGCCGGACCUUUCCUUCUGGAGAACCGCAUGCCCUUCACUGGGUGUGCCGGGGAACCAGGACUUUUACUUUGAAAAAAUUAGAGUGUUCAAAGCAGGCCUUUGCUCGAAUACAUUAGCAUGGAAUAAUAGAAUAGGACGUGCGGUCCUAUUUUGUUGGUUUCUAGGACCGCCGUAAUGAUUAAUAGGGAUAGUCGGGGGCAUCAGUAUUCAAUUGUCAGAGGUGAAAUUCUUAGAUUUAUUGAAGACUAACUACUGCGAAAGCAUUUGCCAAGGAUGUUUUCAUUAAUCAGUGAACGAAAGUUAGGGGAUCGAAGACGAUCAGAUACCGUCGUAGUCUUAACCGUAAACUAUGCCGACUAGGGAUCGGGCGAUGUUAUUCUUUUGACUCGCUCGGCACCUUACGAGAAAUCAAAG